rnacentral:lncRNA from 1 species
GCGGUGGCAGGGAGAAUGGGAGAUAAAAAGAAAGCAAGGUAGCGGUUUGAUGUACUUAUAGUUUUUUUAGAGGAUGUAUUUAUAGUUAGGGUGUGGUUGCGAGCUACCCCUUAAACCCUAAGGAGGAACGGGCUGGCUAGGCCUAAUGGGCCUUUCAGCCCAUGAGGAGGAAGCCCGUGCGGAAUGGUCUGAGAAGUAGGAGAAGUGGGAGGAGGAGGCCCAUGCGGCUUGCCGGUGCAGAAAGCUUUUCCAUUGUCUGUCUAGAAAAACUAAAAAAAAAUAGAAGUCCUAAAAUCUCAAUAUAAAGUGGCUAGAACACUCUAGAAAUUUCUUUGGGCCUCAGAUAAAUACUAUAAGUCCUAAAAGCUCCAAAAAACAGCAUAAAGUGAAAAGGACCUGAGUGCACCGAAGGCAGUCGGGGAAUGAGUGUCGCGAAGCCAUUCCAACAAAGAUGUCAUUUGUACGCUUGGACGGUAUCUCGAUGUGCCUCUCAGGUCAAUGAGACAGGCGAUGUGCCUCACACGUUGAAGAUGUGUCUGUGUAUGGCACUCCUUGCAGUGAUACACAUCCCAAAUUAGGAAGCGCGUCAAGUGUGGUUGGCGUGUUGCUGUCCCCGACGAAGAUCUUGCAAGUAGGGGUGUCGAUAUUGUCUUUACAUUCCAUAAUCAAGUAUUAGAAAAACUACAUUGGAAAUUUGUGAUGGAGCAACUAAUCCUCGAACUCA